UACGGAGGGGGCUAGCGUUAUUCGGAAUUACUGGGCGUAAAGCGCGCGUAGGCGGCUAUUCAAGUCAGAGGUGAAAGCCCGGAGCUCAACUCCGGAAUUGCCUUUGAAACUAGAUAGCUUGAAUCAUGGAGAGGUCAGUGGAAUUCCGAGUGUAGAGGUGAAAUUCGUAGAUAUUCGGAAGAACACCAGUGGCGAAGGCGACUGACUGGACAUGUAUUGACGCUGAGGUGCGAAAGCGUGGGGAGCAAACAGG
rnacentral:rRNA from 1 species